rnacentral:rRNA from 1 species
CUAGACCUGAAAUCAGUCGAGGACACCCGCUGAAUUUAAGCAUAUUAUUAAGCGGAGGAAAAGAAAAUAACUAUGAUUCCCCUAGUAACGGCGAGUGAAGAGGGAGGUGCUCAAAGUGAAAAUCGUGGUACCUCUUAUGGUACCGCGAGUUGUAGCCUCUAGAGGCGUUACCAGUGGAGGGGCAGGUCUAAGUUUCUUGGAACAGA